rnacentral:siRNA from 1 species
UCGAGUGCCUUCACCUUCACUGCC